GGGCGCUGUGCGGCGGGGGGAUCCCUGCGGGAGCGGCGGGCACAGCCCCGAGCAGCAGCGUCAGCCCUGUCCCGGGCAGGAGGGACAGCUCCGGUGCCAUAUGGCACCCGCUGGGACGGGCACCGCCGGGCCAGCACUGCUCUGGUGAAGGCGAAGAACAUCCGCCCUGACAGGGUGUUUUGGAGCUGCCGCUGGGCCAGGAGAAGCUGGGUGCUGUUACUGUGUGCCACAGGGAUUUUCCGGGUGUUGUCCUAAUGGUACCAUUUAGAAUGGAAAAACGGGGAGAGGAAGUGCUGAGCCUGCACCAGCUGAUGCCAGAGGAGAUGCCAGGAGCUGCCUGGCUGUAAAACAUUCCCAGAUCCUGAGAGAGACUGGGGAUGUGGUGCAACAACAGCAUCACCGGGAGGAGAGGGCGCCCUAGGCGCCGUCUCAGGAAAAAAGCCCACACUGGGCAUCAUCAGAGGUUUUGGGUUCCUGCAGCGGGAGCCCAGAUCCCUCACCCCCACCUCUCUGUAUUCCGGUGCUCGGGCUGUAAAAAUCCUGGGGCUACUUCCUAGCCCAUUUUUCAGCUGGGAAAAGGGACAGGACAAGGGCUGCGGGGCUGCAAAGGAGCAGAAACUUUGCGGGAUCCAAGAGUGAGCGCGGCUCUCCUGAGCCGGCUCUGGCAGGGUGGAACACGGACAGGGGGAAAAGGGCCGGGAGCCGGGGAUAUGCGAGCAGAGCUCCCAGCCCAGCUCAGGGACUGCCCUGGGGCACUCUGCUCAUGGCUGGCAGCGGCACUCUCAGCCCUGCGAGCGCGGCUCCCAUCGCCCCCGCGGGUCGGGUCCACAUCCAGGACAGGGGAACUGGGAUGGGGAAGAUGCGCCUGUCCUCAGGGAGCGCCAAGGGGCGUUUCCUAAGCAGGUUUCACAUCCUCGGGAGGAUCGGUAGAUUCUGUUUAUUCCACACCAAGAUGCUCCAGAGCAAUUAAAUCAAUCUAGUGCCCUUCAAAUAGA